rnacentral:rRNA from 1 species
GCGCACCAGUCGAGAAACCUCCGCAAUGCACGCAAGUGCGACGGGGGAACCCCAAGUGCCACUCUUAACGGGGUGGCUUUUCAGAAGUGUAAAAAGCUUCUGGAAUAAGGGCUGGGCAAGACCGGUGCCAGCCGCCGCGGUAACACCGGCAGCUCAAGUGGUAGCCGCUUUUAUUGGGCCUAAAGCGUCCGUAGCCGGUCUGAUAAGUCUCUGGUGAAAUCCCACAGCUUAACUGUGGGAAUUGCUGGAGAUACUAUCAUGACUCGAGGUCGGGAGAGGCUGGAGGUACUCCCAGGGUAGGGGUGAAAUCCUGUAAUCCUGGGAGGACCACCUGUGGCGAAGGCGUCCAGCUGGAACGAACCUGACGGUGAGGGACGAAAGCCAGGGGCGCGAACCGGAUUAGAUACCCACGUAGUCC